UGUUGAAGGCUGUACACUGACCUAUUAUGGUUUACCUUUAUAAAUUGUUAAUUGGAUUUCACACCACAUCUUUCUAUAUCUAUAUUUUUUUAUUUGUCUUAUACUUCUGUCUGAGUUAUCAGGGGUCCCUCAUCAUGCUCAUGCAAUAUCAAAAAUGAUAAAAAAGAAUAAUCGUGUUAUGAAACAAUAAUUAGUGCGGUCGGGGUUGCAUAAUAGGUUUUAGCAUGCAGCUUCUCUGUAUUGUCAAGGUCAACAUCCAGUGUUAUAAAGUGAUACAGUCCUGAACUGGAAUUAUCAAUGUUUAAAACAACAUCUACAGACUCAACAUUCAUAUGCAAUACUCACACACUUCAGAAACAGGUGAUCACAAUAUUAGUACAUCAAUUCCCAAGUAUCAAUGUACAUUUUUUCCCCACAGCACUUGCUAAAAUCAAUUUGAAACAAGCAUUUGGUUUACUUAUUAAAGUUAACACACUUUGACACACUGAAUUUGUUAUAAAAUAUGACUUGGUAUGAAAUAUAUAUUAUUCCAGGUUGACAUAUACAUGUUUUGGUCAUUGUUGGUGUUUGUAUGUUUUAAUCGAAGAUUUUAGGUGAAAUAAUCAAUAAAUCUUAACGCCAGGUCACAAUGUACAACUUGCAAAAAUUACAAUUUAAAUAAUAUAAAUAGUUUUUUUAUACCCCAUAUUAAUUUUUGGUAUAACGUUGUCUGUUGUCAACAUGUCGGACACUAGCUCAAAAACAGUUUAAUCAAUAUUUAGAUUAUACUUGGUGAAUUGUUUAUCUAUUGACUAGAGCUCCAUUUUGGGUUUUUUUUAACAAAUUUCAUAUUAUAUGUUUCCUAGUUUUUGUUUUUUUUCUUCUGUUUAUUAAUUUCUGUCCUCAUUACUUUAUAGAAUGCCUAAGAGGAAGUAAAGGUAGAAUGUGCCAUAUCACAGGAAAAGACGUGGAACUGGCAAACCAAAAUUAGACAAAGGGCAAACUGAAAUACAUGCACUUACGCCAGACAUCGCACAUGAUGAAGAUCUUUUGUCAUCUGAAAACAGAAGAGCUUACAUGCACCAGUGUGGAUUCAGUCUCUUUGGAUCAUUCAUAUUUGUCUGAUAACCAGACAGUGGCAGAACUUUGUUUAGAUGAAGAAAUUGAUGUUAAUACACAUAUUAAACUUGAAUGCAAAAAAGAAUGUGUAAUAUCUUAUUUAUAUGUUCACGGCAUCGAACUAAAUAGAGAACAUGACAUCUGGUUAGGAUUGCCAAGUGUGUAUGACAACAUAACAAGUAUUGAGAGACUAUUGUCUAAAUUAAAGAGUUACACUGUUUGUGUAUACAUGUAUAUAUGUAAUAUAUGUUGUGUUUGAGAUAAAUAGAUUUAAAUCUAAAUUGCUUUAGUUUGAGUUUCAACUUCUGC
rnacentral:lncRNA from 1 species